GGUGCAAAACACUGAUCAAAACUAACCCCAAUUUUUUAAUUUUUUUUGGUAAAUAACUAACCCUAAUUUUUGUGUUUAAAAUAUAAAUUCAAGGUUAAUUUUGAUCAAUCUUUUGCACCCAACACGAUAAAUCAAUCUCACAUCUUCGUAAAACAAUAUAUAUAUAUUUUUCGUCAGACUAAAUAUUAGUCUUAAAAUCUAAAUGGGCAAAUCUCCAAAAUAGCACAUUUCUAAGUUUAUAUCACAAAAAUAGCACUCAAAAACUAAAAUGACCAAAAUAGCACCUUUCUAAGUUUAUCCUUUGAAUAUUUUAAUUUUUUUUAUUUUUCAAAAUUUGAAAUCUUAUCCCCAAAACCUCAUUUCUCAACUCUAAACCCUAAACUCUAAACCCUAAACCCUAAACCCUAAACUCUACACCCUAAACCCUAAACCAUAAACCCUAAACCCUAAACUCUAAACCCUAAACCCUAAACUCUAAACCCUAAACCCUAAACCCUAAACCCUAAACUCUAAACCCUAAACCCUAAAUCCUAAACCUCAUCCUUUAACUCUAAACCCUAAGUUUGUGACUUUUGAUAAAAUAUUAAGUGCUAUUUUUGUAACUUUUGACCUUGAGUGCUAGUUUGGAAACAUAAACUUGAUUUAGUGCUAUUUUUGUCUUUUUCUCAAUCUAAAAAACCAUAAAGCUUUUGUGCGGACGACAAGUGUUCUCUUGAUCACGACUAACGUUUUUUCUUGCCGGCGGUGUCGGAUGACUUACGUACGUUUCUCUAUGAUGUGUUUCAUGCUCUUGCCCUUUCUUUUGGUUCUAUUCGAAAGCGAUCAUAUCGCUUGACUUGGUUGCUCCAGCUUUAGCUUGAUUUAUUCGUCCUUUUAUUUUAGACUUAAGGAUAUUGCAAAAAAUUUCCAUUAUCCACUGAAUAUUCUACAAGUAAUCACAUAACUAAAGCAACGCGAUACGUAGCCGCCCCCGUAAAGGUUGGAGGGUGACGAAGGCCCUACGUCCCUACCACAACGAGAAGUCUACAACUUUAUAUAAGUUUUUACUGUCGGACCAGGCGGUGUAUCUCACUAAGAAACAAACAAGUACUUCCUCGGUUUUUUAUUGUAAAUAAUUAUUGUAAGUAGUGUAAGUAAAAUUUGUUUGUUUCAAAAUAUAAAUAGUUUUCAUAAUUUUAAAUAAUUUUUUAUUUUUAUUAGGUACAGUGUGAUCAAUCAAAUAAUAUAUUAUAUGUUUAUUUAUGAUUGGUUUAACUACAUCUAAUAUAUAUAUCAAAUGCUACUUUAAAAAAACUUAAUAACUUUUUUAAUAUUUUUGCAUUCACCUAAAACUACCUAUAUAAAAAAACAGAGGGAGUAAAUAAGAUUAUAAGAGCAUGAUCGAUCCAAGUUUCUAAGGAUAAGGUUUUUAACAUAAUACUAGAUGGUAAUUUGCGCGCAUGCACGGAGUGGGUUUUUAUAAUAAUGUUUGUUUAUAAAAUGAUUUUAACAUUUUGCAACACUACAAUUCGAUUAUAAAAUGGCGAAUACAAAUGUUGGUCUCUUAAAUAUAUCAUCGUUAUUGAAGAGUUAACGUAUUACAUCUUAUUUUAAUUAUUUUUAAGAUUUCAUAUACACGAAAUGAAAUUAAGUUUUGCGGCUGACACAAAUCACCAAAACCAAAUAAGCAAUAUCGAUUGUAUAAUGACGAAAGGGGAUUAGGUUUUCUGCUCUCGAUUUGUUUAUUAUUGACUCUCCAUAAGAAAUUUUAUUUCCUAUGCUUUCGUUCUCGUCUUUGUUUCAUUGAUAUGAGUUAAGUUUUUUUUUACUUCUUUUAUGAAUUCAGUGAAUUACAUAAGUAUCAAUUAAAAAUAUGGAUAUCUGUAAAAAUUAGUUUCACUCCAUAUACAUAUCUAAAAAUAAAAAAUUUUGAAAAAAAAUCACCGUAUAUUAACAGGUUAGUGUUCAAAUUUAAUAUAUCAAGCUGUUAUAAAAUAUAAGUACAUACUCGAAAUAUAAAUGUCUGUCUCGUAUAUAUUCACCACCUCGGUCUAAAAAUAAUCUAAUUAAAACAACAAAACAAAUUACUUAUUUCACCAGUUCGGGUAAUAUCUGAAUCCAAAUGGAUAAUAUCCGAACCCGAAUAGAUAUCCAAAGAUAAUCAAACAUAAGUAUACUUAACCCAAUAUUUCUAGUUUAUUUCUCUCAUUUUAUUCAAAAUAUUUAUAUUAAUGAUGCUUAUUGCUCAAAAUUAGAUAAUAUACGUAUAAUUAUGGACAUAAUCAUUUGCUAUUCACUUAAAAUACAUAUCAAGCUCUUGUUUCUUGCUUUAACAAAAGCUGCAUCUAAAAUUUCAAAACAACAACUAAAUUAGUGUCUUUCUAUUUUUAAAGUUUUAUCUCCAAACCUAGUAAUAGUUUAAUCUUUAAAAAUUAGAAAAUCAGUUAAGUUAAAAUAUAUUUUAAAUACAAAAAACUUAAACAAUGAAUAAUUUAUUUACUUUUUCUUCAAAAUUUAUAUAUCCGAACCUGACCCAAAAUAUCUGAACCCGAACAUAAAAUACCCGAACCUGACUCGAAGUGUAGAAAUAUUCGAAAGGAUUCUAUACAUUUAUACUGAAAUAUCUGAUACAAAUCCGAACGUGUAUCCGAACACUCACCCCUAUGAUAUAUAAUCAUUUGUAUUUUGCUUGAAAAAAAAAGUUAAACCAGAUCACAAAAUCCUCAAUGGGGGACUUUUACAUUUUUGGUAAUUUAUAGUCGUUUUUAAAAAUUCAAAAUAUAACAUAUAAAAAAUAAUUUUUUAUUAUAUGUUUUUUGACGUCUUUUAUUAUAUGCUUAAUGUGAUUGUUUAAUUUCUUUUAAUAGUAUAAAAUUAAACAAAAAAAAAAGAGAGGUUAAAAUUUUUUUUUUAUCAAAUAUGUAUUAUUCAUAAUCAUUAAUGGUCAUAUAUAUGUUAACCAUAUUAGGUAUUCCAUAGCUUUUAUUUAAGGAAGAAAUAAUAUUAUUUUGUACAAUAUUAAUUAAUUUGAUAGUUAGUUUAAUGAAAAGCAUAAUAUAUGUUUAUAUGGACCAACUUAUUUUUCUAACAAUUCUAAGAAUCAUUUUGGUGAUGACAAUUGGCUACGAAAACAUGUUGUAAUGCUCCAAGAUUAAUAUAUAGGGGAUAAGAUACGGUAUAUUAACUUUUAACUAAAAAAAUUAAGAAACGUCUCUUAAAUAAGAUAUAUAAAGACGUCUCUUAAUUUUUUUAGUUAAAAGCUAAGAGACCGUAUCUUAUAUUACGCUAAGAACUUCUUCCUAAGAGACCCGCAUUAAUCAUACUCUAAGUAUGAUAUUGUAUAAUAAACUCAAUUUUACAUUUUGCUUCAUGCCUCCAUCUAUUACUCGUUUUUCUUAAAACUCAACAUCACUUAUAUUGGGUAUCGCCCUGAAUCACUCGAAAGGAUUCAACAUUACCAAAUCAAUCCUCAUUAUAUUUUUACACCCCAUAGAGAACAUCAUCUCCCACAGCUCAAGAUGACAUUGUCUCAUUUCAGCACUAAUUGGACCUCAUGAACGAACACAUCUACUAACAGAAACACAUUAUACAACUUCGAAAUAAAAUGUUCAUCGAGUUAUUGGUUCCGAAAAAUGAGGAUGUAGUGCUUUCCCACCAAAAUAUUCACCAUACGUGCGUCUUCGAACUCAUCUCAUGACCAUUGGUGUUCAAUGCCUCAUUUCUUAGCCACUAUUAGAUAUAUCAUAUAUAUGUUUCCUAAUAUGAUAAAUGUUAAGUUUCUAAUAACUUAGGAUGUAGGAUCCUUUAGGAUCUAUCUUUACUUGGGAUGGAAGUUAUCUCUUAUGAAACCUUCUCAUAUAUAUAUGUAUGCGUUGAACACAUGAAUAAGUAUACGAAAGAGAGAGUUUUUACAUAGCUUUACAAAGCUUUACAUGGUAUCAGAGCCUCCCUUUGGCCUGUAAUCGAUUGCUUUACAAGAAUAAGAUAAUGAUGUCAGGUUCCGAAAAAAAAAUCGCAAGUAGCGAUAAAAGCUUGAUCUCGCCAUACUUUUUACAUGCAUCUGAUCACACAGGGCAAGUACAGACUCCGUUUUUGUUAAACGGAUCUAAUUAUGAACGAUGGGCAAAGCUCAUGACAAAUUCUCUUCGGACAAAGAGAAAGUUGGGUUUCAUCAAUGGAACCCUAAAAAGACCUACAGAUGAAAACGAAGCUGAACGAUGGGAGAUGGUUAACGUCAUGAUCAUAAGAUGGAUAUACAGCAGCAUCAAGCCACAUCUCAGAACAUCAAUAUCUCUAGUUUCUGAUGUUUCCGUAAUGUGGUCUGACCUCAAAGCUCGAUUCUCAUCUGGGGAUGAUACCUGUGUCCACCAACUAAGAGCCGACAUUGCUCCUUGCAAACAAGACGGACAAGCAGUGGAAGUAUACUACGGGAAGCUAAAGGUUCUUUGGGAUGAUCUGUCUGUUUUCGAGGCAUACUUUAAUUGUUGCUGUGGAAGUGAUGUGUGUCCUUUAAUGAAGAAAUUCUGUAAGACACAAGAAAAGAUAUUGAUUCAUGAGUUCCUUAUGGGACUUGAUAAGAGCAGAUUUGGAACUGCACAAUCCAACCUGCUGAGUCGUCUCGGCGAGUAUAACAUAAAGACUGUCUACUCUCAAAUCACACAAGAAGAGAGACACCUGGAGGUUACUCAAGAAAAACCCGAAACAGCCGGAGCAGUAGGCUUCUCUGCAACCGCUGCAUCUACAACAACAAAACAGAACCAGUCGGUGUCGUGUUCUCAUUGUGGAAAAAUAGGGCAUGAGAAGCAUCAAUGUUACAAGUUAAUCGGUUACCCCAAAUGGUUUGGUGAUUCAACGUCAUCUCCUGGACGUUCCUCAUCUGGACGAAGAAGAGGAUCUUACAGAGGCAGAGGAAGAGGUCGUGGUGGACCUUCUGCAAAUCAAGUGGAUGUAGCUCGAACCCAAACGCCUUCACAAAAUGGUAGCAGUGACUCCUCAAUCACAGAUUCGGGUUUUCCAAAUCUCACGCAGACCCAAUGGAAUUCUAUUGCAAACUUUGUCAACGAGAAACAAACCAAAGACAAACUCUCUGGUAAGAAACAACAACUCGUCCUUUAUGGGACACAUAGUAAGUAUGAUUUGAUCAUAGACUCUGGAGCUUCGCAUCACAUGACCGGAGACAUAAAUCUCUUGACUAAUCUAAAGUCAAUCAACUCGGUGGCUAUAUCCUUGCCGGAUGGAGGUGUAGCUUGGGCAACACGCUAUGGCACACUAAAUCUUGGUGGAAAACUUAUUCUGCAGCAAGUGCUCUAUGCACCUCAGCUCUCUAUUACUCUGAUCUCAGUGUCACGGUUGCUUAAUGAUAUUGCCAGCUGUGUCAUAUUUACUAAAAAGUUUUCUGUAAUACAUGACCUUGCUUCGAGGACUUUGAUUGGUGCGGGUGAAGAGCGUGACGUGAUUUAUCAUCUUACUGGUUCGGUUCUUCCUCAAAUCAAUCACGCCAACAAGAAGGAUAAUAGGAAUCUGUGGCAUCGAUGCUUGGGUCAUCCGUCGUCGAAAGUGUUAUCUUAUCUUUCAGAUUUAGGAAAAUUCUCUACAAGCAAUAGUGAUUUAGAUGAGCUUUGUGAUACUUGCAAUCGAGCUAAACAAACUCGUGUAACUUUUCAAGACAGUUCUAAUAGAGCAGAUGAUUUGUUUUCUUUAAUCCACUGUGACUUAUGGGGACCAUUUAGAGAAAAAUCUUCAUGCGGAGCAUCAUAUUUCCUUACCAUUGUCGAUGAUUGCUCACGAGCUCUCUGGACUUUCUUGCUUCUCGAAAAAUCUGAAGUAGGAAACGUUUUGAAAAACUUCUUUGCUCUAGUGGAUCGUCAAUUCAAUGAUACUCUAUAUUUACUCCAACCCUAAUGUAAAUUUUUUUUAUCAUCACUAUAUUAUAAAGUUACUUUAUGUAAGAGUAAAAAAUAAAGUUAAGCAUUAGAGAUAGUCCGAGAAGAUCGGUGGAAAAUUAUUAACAAAGACUCCUCUUCUAUACAAAUUGUGAUAGUACACCAAUUCAUAUUGUAACGAUAAUGGUAAAAUUUAGGGUGCAAAACACUGAUCAAAACUAACCCCAAUUUUUUAAUUUUUUUUGGUAAAUAACUAACCCUAAUUUUUGUGUUUAAAAUAUAAAUUCAAGGUUAAUUUUGAUCAAUCUUUUGCACCCAACACGAUAAAUCAAUCUCACAUCUUCGUAAAACAAUAUAUAUAUAUUUUUCGUCAGACUAAAUAUUAGUCUUAAAAUCUAAAUGGGCAAAUCUCCAAAAUAGCACAUUUCUAAGUUUAUAUCACAAAAAUAGCACUCAAAAACUAAAAUGACCAAAAUAGCACCUUUCUAAGUUUAUCCUUUGAAUAUUUUAAUUUUUUUUAUUUUUCAAAAUUUGAAAUCUUAUCCCCAAAACCUCAUUUCUCAACUCUAAACCCUAAACUCUAAACCCUAAACCCUAAACCCUAAACUCUACACCCUAAACCCUAAACCAUAAACCCUAAACCCUAAACUCUAAACCCUAAACCCUAAACUCUAAACCCUAAACCCUAAACCCUAAACCCUAAACUCUAAACCCUAAACCCUAAAUCCUAAACCUCAUCCUUUAACUCUAAACCCUAAGUUUGUGACUUUUGAUAAAAUAUUAAGUGCUAUUUUUGUAACUUUUGACCUUGAGUGCUAGUUUGGAAACAUAA
rnacentral:lncRNA from 1 species